AACGAACGCUGGCGGCAUGCCUAACACAUGCAAGUCGAACGAGACCUUCGGGUCUAGUGGCGCACGGGUGCGUAACGCGUGGGAACCUGCCCUUAGGUUCGGAAUAACUCCCCGAAAGGGGUGCUAAUACCGGAUAAUGUCUUCGGACAAAGAUUUAUUGCCUUUUGGUGGGCCCGCGUUGGAUUAGCUAGUUGGUAAGGUAAAAGCCUACCAAGGCGACGAUCCAUAGCUGGUCUGAGAGGAUGACCAGCCACACUGGGACUGAGACACGGCCCAGACUCCUACGGGAGGCAGCAGUGGGGAAUAUUGGACAAUGGGCGAAAGCCUGAUCCAGCAAUGCCGCGUGAGUGAUGAAGGCCUUAGGGUUGUAAAGCUCUUUUACCCGGGAUGAUAAUGACAGUACCGGGAGAAUAAGCUCCGGCUAACUCCGUG
rnacentral:rRNA from 1 species